UACGUAGGGUGCGAGCGUUGUCCGGAAUUACUGGGCGUAAAGAGCUCGUAGGUGGUUUGUCGCGUUGUCCGUGAAAACUCACAACUCAAUUGUGGGCGUGCGGGCGAUACGGGCAGACUGGAGUACUGCAGGGGAGACUGGAAUUCCUGGUGUAGCGGUGGAAUGCGCAGAUAUCAGGAGGAACACCGGUGGUGAAGGCAGGUCACUGGGCCGCAACUGACGCUGAGGAGCGAAAGCAUGGGGAGCGAACAGG
rnacentral:rRNA from 1 species